GUCUACGGCCAUGCCACCCUGAAUAAGCCUGAUGUCUGAUCUUGGAAGCUAGCAGGCUCAGACCUGGUUAGUACUUGGAUGGGAGAUCACCUAGGAAGACCAGGUGCCGUAGGCA
rnacentral:rRNA from 1 species